UGUACGAAGGCGGAGAAGGACUCAGCCAGCCUGGGCCCGCAGCGAGUGGGGCAGAGCCAGCGCCCCCCGGGGGAGCCGCCACCGCCUGCGCACCCCUCCCGGCCCGACACGCUCCUCAGCGGGAGGAUGAGCUGGGUCACUUUUCCUUCAAACAAACAAUAACACCUUGAUGAAUCUUUCGGCUUUAUUUUCUGUCCAAGAAGAAAACAGUUUCAGGGAAUCUGACCUCCUGUUUCACUGCAUUCACUGAACCUUCAACAGAAAUGGUCACAGGAUUGCUUUAAUGGUGCUAUAGAGCUGAGAAGAGUUUUUGAAGAUGGAUUCUCAUGUUGAAAGGAUAAGUGACAAGAUCAUGCUCAGGAAUCACAGAAUCGUUGAGACUGGAAGAGACCUCCAGAGAUCAACUAGUCCAACCCCUCU